rnacentral:rRNA from 1 species
GGUUAAGUGACUAAGCGUACACGGUGGAUGCCCUGGCAGUCAGAGGCGAUGAAGGACGUGCUAAUCUGCGAAAAGCGUCGGUAAGGUGAUAUGAACCGUUAUAACCGGCGAUGUCCGAAUGGGGAAACCCAGUGCAAUUCGUUGCACUAUCGUUAACUGAAUACAUAGGUUAACGAGGCGAACCGGGGGAACUGAAACAUCUAAGUACCCCGAGGAAAAGAAAUCAACCGAGAUUCCCCCAGUAGCGGCGAGCGAACGGGGAGCAGCCCAGAGUCUGAAUCAGCUUGUGUGUUAGUGGAACGGUCUGGAAAGUCCGACGGUACAGGGUGAUAGUCCCGUACACCAAAAUGCACAGGCUGUGAACUCGAAGAGUAGGGCGGGACACGUGGUAUCCUGUCUGAAUAUGGGGGGACCAUCCUCCAAGGCUAAAUACUCCUGACUGACCGAUAGUGAACCAGUACCGUGAGGGAAAGGCGAAAAGAACCCCGGCGAGGGGAGUGAAAAAGAACCUGAAACCGUGUACGUACAAGCAGUGGGAGCACCUUCGGGUGUGACUGCGUACCUUUUGUAUAAUGGGUCAGCGACUUAUAUUCUGUAGCAAGGUUAACCGUAUAGGGGAGCCGCAGGGAAACCGAGUCUUAACUGGGCGUUAAGUUGCAGGGUAUAGACCCGAAACCCGGUGAUCUAGCCAUGGGCAGGUUGAAGGUUGGGUAACACUAACUGGAGGACCGAACCGACUAAUGUUGAAAAAUUAGCGGAUGACUUGUGGCUGGGGGUGAAAGGCCAAUCAAACCGGGAGAUAGCUGGUUCUCCCCGAAAGCUAUUUAGGUAGCGCCUCGUGAACUCAUCUUCGGGGGUAGAGCACUGUUUCGGCUAGGGGGUCAUCCCGACUUACCAACCCGAUGCAAACUACGAAUACCGAAGAAUGUUAUCACGGGAGACACACGGCGGGUGCUAACGUCCGUCGUGAAGAGGGAAACAACCCAGACCGCCAGCUAAGGUCCCAAAGUCAUGGUUAAGUGGGAAACGAUGUGGGAAGGCACAGACAGCCAGGAUGUUGGCUUAGAAGCAGCCAUCAUUUAAAGAAAGCGUAAUAGCUCACUGGUCGAGUCGGCCUGCGCGGAAGAUGUAACGGGGCUAAACCAUGCACCGAAGCUGCGGCAGCGACACGAUGUGUUGUUGGGUAGGGGAGCGUUCUGUAAGCCUGCGAAGGUGACCUGUGAGGGUUGCUGGAGGUAUCAGAAGUGCGAAUGCUGACAUAAGUAACGAUAAAGCGGGUGAAAAGCCCGCUCGCCGGAAGACCAAGGGUUCCUGUCCAACGUUAAUCGGGGCAGGGUGAGUCGACCCCUAAGGCGAGGCCGAAAGGCGUAGUCGAUGGGAAACAGGUUAAUAUUCCUGUACUUGGUGUUACUGCGAAGGGGGGACGGAGAAGGCUAUGUUAGCCGGGCGACGGUUGUCCCGGUUUAAGCAUGUAGGCUGGUUAUCCAGGCAAAUCCGGAUAAUCAAGGCUGAGGUGUGAUGACGAGGCACUACGGUGCUGAAGUAACAAAUGCCCUGCUUCCAGGAAAAGCCUCUAAGCAUCAGGUAACAUCAAAUCGUACCCCAAACCGACACAGGUGGUCAGGUAGAGAAUACCAAGGCGCUUGAGAGAACUCGGGUGAAGGAACUAGGCAAAAUGGUGCCGUAACUUCGGGAGAAGGCACGCUGGUGUGUAGGUGAAGUCCCUGCGGAUGGAGCUGAGACCAGUCGAAGAUACCAGCUGGCUGCAACUGUUUAUUAAAAACACAGCACUGUGCAAACACGAAAGUGGACGUAUACGGUGUGACGCCUGCCCGGUGCCGGAAGGUUAAUUGAUGGGGUUAUCCGUAAGGAGAAGCUCUUGAUCGAAGCCCCGGUAAACGGCGGCCGUAACUAUAACGGUCCUAAGGUAGCGAAAUUCCUUGUCGGGUAAGUUCCGACCUGCACGAAUGGCGUAAUGAUGGCCAGGCUGUCUCCACCCGAGACUCAGUGAAAUUGAACUCGCUGUGAAGAUGCAGUGUACCCGCGGCAAGACGGAAAGACCCCGUGAACCUUUACUAUAGCUUGACACUGAACAUUGAGCCUUGAUGUGUAGGAUAGGUGGGAGGCUUUGAAGCGUGGACGCCAGUCUGCGUGGAGCCAACCUUGAAAUACCACCCUUUAAUGUUUGAUGUUCUAACGUUGGCCCCUUACCGGGGUUGCGGACAGUGUCUGGUGGGUAGUUUGACUGGGGCGGUCUCCUCCCAAAGCGUAACGGAGGAGCACGAAGGUUAGCUAAUCCUGGUCGGACAUCAGGAGGUUAGUGCAAUGGCAUAAGCUAGCUUGACUGCGAGCGUGACGGCGCGAGCAGGUGCGAAAGCAGGUCAUAGUGAUCCGGUGGUUCUGAAUGGAAGGGCCAUCGCUCAACGGAUAAAAGGUACUCCGGGGAUAACAGGCUGAUACCGCCCAAGAGUUCAUAUCGACGGCGGUGUUUGGCACCUCGAUGUCGGCUCAUCACAUCCUGGGGCUGAAGUAGGUCCCAAGGGUAUGGCUGUUCGCCAUUUAAAGUGGUACGCGAGCUGGGUUUAGAACGUCGUGAGACAGUUCGGUCCCUAUCUGCCGUGGGCGCUGGAGAAUUGAGGGGGGCUGCUCCUAGUACGAGAGGACCGGAGUGGACGCAUCACUGGUGUUCGGGUUGUCAUGCCAAUGGCACUGCCCGGUAGCUAAAUGCGGAAGAGAUAAGUGCUGAAAGCAUCUAAGCACGAAACUUGCCCCGAGAUGAGUUCUCCCUGAGACUUUAAGUCUCCUGAAGGAACGUUGAAGACGACGACGUUGAUAGGCCGGGUGUGUAAGCGCAGCGAUGCGUUGAGCUAACCGGUACUAAUGAACCGUGAGGCUUAACCUU